AGAGUUUGAUCCUGGCUCAGAACGAACGCUGGCGGCAGUAACACAUGCAAGUCGAACGCACCUUCGGGUGAGUGGCAGACGGGUGAGUAACGCGUGGGACGUGCCCUUCAGUUCGGAAUAACCCAGGGAAACUUGGGCUAAUACCGGAUACGUGCGAGAGCAGAAAGAUUUAUCGCUGAAGGAUCGGCCCGCGUCUGAUUAGCUAGUUGGUGGGGUAAUGGCCCACCAAGGCGACGAUCAGUAGCUGGUCUGAGAGGAUGAUCAGCCACAUUGGGACUGAGACACGGCCCAAACUCCUACGGGAGGCAGCAGUGGGGAAUAUUGGACAAUGGGCGCAAGCCUGAUCCAGCCAUGCCGCGUGAGUGAUGAAGGCCUUAGGGUUGUAAAGCUCUUUCGGCGGGGACGAUAAUGACGGUACCCGCAGAAGAAGCCCCGGCUACUUCGUGCCAGCAGCCGCGGUAAUACGAAGGGGGCUAGCGUUGUUCGGAAUCACUGGGCGUAAAGGGCGCGUAGGCGGCUUGAUAAGUCGGGGGUGAAAGCCUGUGGCUCAACCACAGAAUUGCCUUCGAUACUGUCUGGCUUGAGACCGGAAGAGGUAAGUGGAACUGCGAGUGUAGAGGUGAAAUUCGUAGAUAUUCGCAAGAACACCAGUGGCGAAGGCGGCUUACUGGUCCGGUUCUGNNGCUGAGGCGCGAAAGCGUGGGGAGCAAACAGGAUUAGAUACCCUAGUAGUCC
rnacentral:rRNA from 1 species